GUGCCAGCCGCCGCGGUAAUACGUAGGGUGCGAGCGUUAAUCGGAAUUACUGGGCGUAAAGCGUGCGCAGGUGGUUGUGUAAGUCAGAGGUGAAAUCCCCGGGCUCAACCUGGGAACUGCCUUUGAGACUGCACGGCUAGAGGAUAGCAGAGGGGGGUGGAAUUCCACGUGUAGCAGUGAAAUGCGUAGAGAUGUGGAGGAACACCGAUGGCGAAGGCAGCCCCCUGGGCUAUUACUGACACUCAUGCACGAAAGCGUGGGGAGCAAACAGGAUUAGAUACCCUGGUAGUCCACGCCCUAAACGAUGUCAACUGGAUGUUGGGAGGGUUAAACCUCUUAGUGUCGUAGCUAACGCGUGAAGUUGACCGCCUGGGGAGUACGGCCGCAAGGCUAAAACUUAAAUAAAUUGACGG
rnacentral:rRNA from 1 species